rnacentral:rRNA from 1 species
GGCGAAUUCUGUGAUCCUAUGCUGCCGGGAAAAGCCUCUAGUGAGUUGGUACACGGCCCGUACCCCAAACCGACACAGGUGGUCAGGUAGAGAAUACUAAGGCGAUCGAGAUAACUGUGGUUAAGGAACUCGGCAAAUUACCCCCGUAACUUCGGGAGAAGGGGGACCACGUCUGGUGACGGCAUUUACUGUCUGAGCUUGGGGUGGUCGCAGAGACCAGAGAGAAGCGACUGUUUACUAAAAACACAGGUCCGUGCGAAGUCGUAAGACGAUGUAUACGGACUGACGCCUGCCCGGUGCUGGAAGGUUAAGAGGACCGGUUAGCCAACUUGUUGGCGAAGCUGAGAAUUUAAGCCCCAGUAAACGGCGGUGGUAACUAUAACCAUCCUAAGGUAGCGAAAUUCCUUGUCGGGUAAGUUCCGACCUGCACGAAUGGCGUAACGACUUCUCUGCUGUCUCAACCACAGACUCGGCGAAAUUGCAGUACGAGUAAAGAUGCUCGUUACGCGCGGCAGGACGAAAAGACCCCGGGACCUUCACUAUAGCUUGGUAUUGGUGUUCGGUACGGUUUGUGUAGGAUAGGUGGGAGACUGUGAAGUGGGCACGCUAGUGUUCGUGGAGUCAUUGUUGAAAUACCACUCUGAUCGUAUUGGGCUUCUAACCUCGGACCCUGAUCGGGUUCAGGGACAGUGCCUGGUGGGUAGUUUAACUGGGGCGGUUGCCUCCUAAAAUGUAACGGAGGCGCCCAAAGGUUCCCUCAGCCUGGAUGGCAAUCAGGUGUUGAGUGUAAGUGCACAAGGGAGCUUGACUGUGAGACGUACAUGUCGAGCAGGGACGAAAGUCGGGACUAGUGAUCCGGCACCGGCAAGUGGAAGCGGUGUCGCUCAACGGAUAAAAGGUACCCCGGGGAUAACAGGCUGAUCUUCCCCAAGAGUCCAUAUCGACGGGAUGGUUUGGCACCUCGAUGUCGGCUCGUCGCAUCCUGGGGCUGGAGUAGGUCCCAAGGGUUGGGCUGUUCGCCCAUUAAAGCGGCACGCGAGCUGGGUUUAGAACGUCGUGAGACAGUUCGGUCUCUAUCCGCCGCGCGCGUCUAGAAACUUGAGGAAACCUGUCCCUAGUACGAGAGGACCGGGACGGACGAACCUCUGGUGUGCCAGUUGUUCCGCCAGGAGCACCGCUGGUUAGCUACGUUCGGAAGGGAUAACCGCUGAAAGCAUCUAAGCGGGAAGCCUGUUCCAAGAUGAGGUUUCUCACCACCCUUCGGGGUGGGUAAGGCCCCCCACAGAUUAUGGGGUUGAUAGGCCAGAACUGUAAGCACAGUAAUGUGUUCAGGUGACUGGUACUAAUCGGCCUAGGACUUAUC